GUGGGGAAUCUUGCGCAAUGGGCGAAAGCCUGACGCAGCCAUGCCGCGUGAAUGAUGAAGGUCUUAGGAUUGUAAAAUUCUUUCACCGGGGACGAUAAUGACGGUACCCGGAGAAGAAGCUCCGGCUAACUUCGUUCCAGCAGCCGCGGUAAUACGAAUGGGGCUAGCGUUGCUCGGAAUUACUGGGCGUAAAGGGCGCGUAGGCGGUCAGCUUAGUCAGAGGUGAAAGCCCAGGGCUCAACCUUGGAAUUGCCUUUGAUACUGGCUGUCUUGAGUUUGGGAGAGGUGAGUGGAACUCCGAGUGUAGAGGUGAAAUUCGUAGAUAUUCGGAAGAACACCAGUGGCGAAGGCGACUCACUGGCCCAAUACUGACGCUGAGGCGCGAAAGCGUGGGGAGCAAACAGGAUUAGAAACCCCAGUAGUCC
rnacentral:rRNA from 1 species